UCGGGAAUUUUGGGCAAUGGGCGAAAGCCUGACCCAGCAACGCCGCGUGAAGGAUGAAGUAUUUCGGUAUGUAAACUUCGUAAGAAUAGGAAGAAUAAAUGACGGUACUAUUUAUAAGGUCCGGCUAACUACGUGCCAGCAGCCGCGGUAAUACGUAGGGACCAAGCGUUGUUCGGAUUUACUGGGCGUAAAGGGCGCGUAGGCGGCAUGACAAGUCACUUGUGAAAUCUCUGGGCUUAACCCAGAACGGCCAAGUGAUACUGUCGCGCUAGAGUGCAGAAGGGGCAAUCGGAAUUCUUGGUGUAGCGGUGAAAUGCGUAGAUAUCAAGAGGAACACCUGAGGUGAAGACGGGUUGCUGGGCUGACACUGACGCUGAGGCGCGAAAGCCAGGGGAGCAAACGGGAUUAGAUACCCCGGUAGUCCCUGAGCGGGCUGGCAAGGCGCAU
rnacentral:rRNA from 1 species